rnacentral:rRNA from 1 species
AGGUCAAGCAAUAAGGGCACAGGGCGGAUGCCUUGGCACUAAGAGCCGAUGAAAGACGUGAUAAGCUGCGAAAAGCUUCGGGGAGGAGCAAAUAUCCCGUGAUCCGGAGAUGUCUGAAUGGGGAAACCCGCAUGAGCAGACCUCAUGCAUCCAUACGCCAAUCCAUAACGUAUGGAAGGGAACCCGGGGAACUGAAACAUCUAAGUACCCGGAGGAAAAGAAAGAAACAUCGAUUCCGUAAGUAGCGGCGAGCGAACGCGGAGGAGCCUAAACCGGUGUGCGUGCAUGCCGGGGUCAUGGACUGCAUUUAAGAUUCAGCGAAGUUAACAGAACGGUUUUGGGAAAGCCGGCCGGAGAGGGUGAAAGCCCCGUACGUGAAAGCAGAGCUGACUGAGCAGGAUCCGGAGUACCACGAGACACGAGGAACCUUGUGGGAAGUAAGGGGGACCACCCCCUAAGGCUAAAUACUACUUAGUGACCGAUAGCGCAUAGUACUGUGAAGGAAAGGUGAAAAGGACCCCGGGAGGGGAGUGAAAGAGAACCUGAAACCCUGUGUCUACAAGCUGUGGGAGUACUUUAUAUGUACGACCGCGUACUUUUUGUAGAACGGUCCGGCGAGUUACGCUUACUGGCAAGGUUAAGUCCUCAAGGGAUGGAGCCGUAGGGAAACCAAGUCUUAACAGGGCCAGAGUCAGUAGGAGUAGACCCGAAACCGGGUGAUCUAUCCAUGUCCAGGUUGAAGCUGCCGUAAGAGGUAGUGGAGGACCGAACCCACAUCCGUUGAAAAGGGUGGGGAUGAGGUGUGGAUAGGGGAGAAAUUCCAAUCGAACCCGGAGAUAGCUGGUUCUCCUCGAAAUAGCUUUAGGGCUAGCCUCGGUGUGAGUCUUGCGGAGGUAGAGCACUGAAUUUCCUAGGGGGCGUCAAAGCCUACCGAAGAAUAUCAAACUCCGAAUGCCGUGUAGAUAUCACCGGGAGUCAGACUGCACGAGAUAAGUUGGGCGGUCAAAAGGGAAAGAGCCCAGACCUACAGUUAAGGUCCCAAAGUGCGCGUUAAGUGGAAAAGGAUGUGGGAUUUCGAAGACAACCAGGAUGUUGGCUCAGAAGCAGCCAUACAUUCAAAGAGUGCGUAAUAGCUCACUGGUCGAGAGGUCCUGCGCCGAAAAUGUCCGGGGCUGAAACGCGCCACCGAAACUAAGGAAUCUGAAAAGAUUGGUAGAGGAGCAUUGCAUGCGGGAAGAAGCAGUACCGAAAGGAGCUGUGGACUGCAUGGAAGAGAGAAUGCCGGAAUGAGUAGCGAGAUAGAGGUGGGAAUCCUCUAGGCCGAAUAUCCAAGGUUUCCAGGGUAAAGCUGAUCUGCCCUGGGUGAGUCGGGACCUAAGGUGAGGGCGAGAGCCGUAGCCGAUGGACAACAGGUUGAUAUUCCUGUACUGCAGUAUGACAGAACUGUGGGGACACGUAAGGAGAGCGGGAGCCGGGAAUGGAAAGCCCGGUACAAGCGAGGUACCAGUAUGGCAGGAAAAUCCGCCAUGCAAUGGGAAGACGUGAUGUGGAGCGAAGAUUAGUAGCGAAGCCCGUGAGCCAUGCGUCAAGAAAAGCCGCUAUCGUUCAUAUUGUACCCGUACCGUAAACCGACACAGGUGGAUGAGGAGAGAAUCCUAAGGCCGGCGGAAGAAGUAUUGCCAAGGAACUCGGCAAAAUGGCCCCGUAACUUAGGGAGAAGGGGUGCCUGCGAGAGCAGGCCGCAGAGAAUAGGCUCAAGCAACUGUUUAGCAAAAACACAGGUCUAUGCGAAACCGAAAGGUGAGGUAUAUGGGCUGACGCCUGCCCGGUGCUGGAAGGUUAAGAGGAGAGGUUAGCAGCAAUGCGAAGCUUUGAAUUUAAGCCCCAGUAAACGGCGGCCGUAACUAUAACGGUCCUAAGGUAGCGAAAUUCCUUGUCGGGUAAGUUCCGACCCGCACGAAAGGCGUAAUGAUUUGAGCGCUGUCUCGGCAAUACAUCCGGUGAAAUUGAAGUGCCAGUGAAGAUGCUGGCUACCCGCGCCAGGACGGAAAGACCCCAUGGAGCUUUACUCCAGUUUGGCACUGGGGUCCGGUGUUGCAUGUACAGGAUAGGUGGGAGGCUGAGAAACGGUAACGUCAGUUGCCGCGGAGCCGCUGUUGGGAUACCACCCUUGUGAUAUUGGGCUUCUAACCAGCCGCCGU